GGAAAAGAUUGUUAUCUGAAGUAGUAUAUCUAAUAUAUAAAAAAACUGUAACAGAGGAUAAUGAUGUUCUCUGAUGGUAACACCAUACUGACAUAGCAUAAAAAAAUAUUUGCAUGGUACUCUGAGGUACUUUACAGAAUACCAAAAUAUUACCAUGGUACAUGUCAGGAAAAACAUGGCUGUUUUGUAAUAAGUGUAGCAGUGCAUGCAUUUUGAAUCACAGUCAUGUGGGCUGAUCAGGUUUCACAGUUUAGCAUGCAACCCUUUAUUUAUGCAUUUAGUUUCCACCCAAGUAGUGCGAACAUGAUUAAAUCAUUUUCAGAAAUCAUUAGUCUUGUGUAAUCAUGUGAAAAUUUUAAAAUGCCUUUAAAGGAUGUUUUAUGAAAAUCCAUUUCCUAUGAUGUCCUCCAUUUGGCUUUUCUCUCUAUCAGAUGUUUCUUAUAUCUCUAAAUUAAGUAAUUUGCUUUAAAAUAUGUGGGGGAGGAAGUGUAAAGGGUUGAUGCCACAUUAAACAAGGACGGGUCGACCAGACUGCAUCAAAUUCUUUCAAAAUAAAGUGCAGUCUGGCGUGACGUGGAAUCCAUAAGCCUCACAAACUCUCCAGUAAUUCUCCAGUCUUAAUGUUCCUCACUCUUCUGGAAUAUCCAUGCCAGCAGGACAGUCGUGGAGUCCGCCGAGAAGAGCAGAUCGUAGAAUCUGAAGGAAACUCCCCACUGUUUACCCCUGACGAGCUCAGCCAGUCUUCAACAUCAUCCCUUCAUACCGUUCAUUAUAGCCUCAGCCCACUCCGCUUUCACAGAGACGCUCCAGCAUCCAGCAGUGUGUGUGUGUGUGUGUGUGUGUGUGUGUGUGUGUGUGCUGGAGGAAACUGGCAGUAAUCCUGUAAAAAGUUCCUCAACUAUGAGCCUUGCUGUAAUCGAGUGCGGUCGUUAGAUGAGGGGCUCAUAAAGGAGAACAUGAGCUUUACUCAUCGCUGUUUUUCCUGCCAGUCCCACCCUUUUGUCUGCUGGAUGCCAAGCAUUGCUGCUCUCUGCUACUCUGCGUUUCUCACUCUGAAGGUUAAAGGUAGAAAUUUAAACAAAGCCCUAACCUUAAGUAAUAAACUUUGGUGUGCAACUCAUCCUGCACCAUUUAUGCAACAGAUAUAUGAUACAAUAUCUAUACGCUUGUUGACGAAAAGUGUGCUAUUAGGUUCUAAGUGAUGAAAUGUACAAUUUGUGUCUGGCAUAUGAUAAAACUUGUGAAGAAAUCCAAUUGAAUUAUGUUGAAGAAGAGACCCAAGCCAUAUCUUGAGACCAGCACUUGGACCAGUAAGCAACCAUCAAUUAUUGCCUUAUAAACCACUCAGAACUUCAUAACACCCUGGGAACCAACCAAAACACCUUAAAACCUUCAGAAAGCUGAAAAUCUAGUUGGUUUUACUGUAGUACACUUGUAGUCCAGAGUAUGACGAAAAACUAGCAGGAGCCUGAAGCCUAAUCAUGUGUGUAAUGUGUAACCUGAGCACUUUUGCCUUCACAAACUCGUCUUAUCUGUGCUUUUAUGUAGUCAUUGUGCCGAUCUUAAUCCUGCGCACAAAGAGUAAUAAGAGCUCUGGACAUAGAGUAACAUCAUAUCCUGUUGUGUUAGAAGAAUACACUGACAGAGGAUUUGUUACACGCUCUGCCUCAGAGCUCAGUUCAUCACCUGAAUACAGUGCAGUGGAUCACAAAAGAGUCAGUGUAUGGGGAUUUCACAAAUAUCACAAAGCUUGCUUGCCCGUGCACAGGGCGUCCAUGAGGGUGUUGCCAUAGGAUGGUUGCCAAGGUGUUGCUAUGCAGUUGCUAGAAUGUUCUGGGUGGAUUCUAGUUGCUUGCUUACUGGCCGAGUGAAAAAAAAGAAACAUAAAAACACACCCAAGUGUCUAUGAUAUUCUUUUUUAUAUGGCUAGAUAUGGGGAUUUUUUUUAACCCAUUUUAUCAUCUUAAAAAAUCAGACAGGUUAGAAAAGUAAUAAUGCACCUUUCCUCAAUAAGCCGUAAAAUGUGACGUGUCAUUCUAAUAUGAGUUUUUAGCAUUAAAUAUCACCACAUUUCAAAAGUGGGUCAAUAAAUGGGACAAAAAGUUUAAAAUGCAUGUGCCAGUAUGUUUAUUUUCAAGUAGGUUUUGUAUGGUUUUAAAAACAAAAACCUCUGUGUAAUUUUCUGCAGCAAAAAAUAAAAUAAAUAAAUAUAUAAAAUAAAAAUAAAUAAAU
ensembl:lncRNA